CUGAGCUAAAUCUCCAACCCCGUAAUCUUAUAAUCUUAUGAGAGGUUUAUUGUAUUCCAGGUCUCAAACUUGCUGUACAGCAGACAUCACUGAAUGAACUCCUGACCUUUCUUUCUUUACUCUGACAGUAAUUCAGGUUGUUUGACAAAACACACACUUUCUCUUUGACAAAACACACACUUUCUCAUGCAGUAGCCAUCUCUCCCUCCUGCGUUCAAUACUCAAUACCAAAUCUCUGAAAAUGUUUGUAUUCAGCCCACAUCUACACAUCCUUCUUUGUCUCCCAACCUCCUCCACUUCUGGCUCGAAGUGGCUUCUAGCCCAGCACUGUCUCAUCAGGCUAAGCUCUGGAACUGAUUCGUAGGCUGGCUCAGAAAAUCUCCACUGGUGCAUUUAAGCUUCCUUCAAAUGCACUGCCUGUCAUGUACACCACUUAAAUCGCAUCUCAUGUGAGGAAAUCAUACAUAGUUUAUUUAAAAGCCCCUCGGCUCCCUUGAAGCAUCACCUAAGCAACGACAGCUAAGUUGUUAAGGGCCUCUGUUGUUCACUACAAAUCACAACAUCAAAUAUGGCAUCAGGCCCAUCAAGAAACACCCCCAAAGCAAUUUAUGCUGAUGAAUCCCAGCUAUUAGCAUAAUAGCACUGGUUUUUACAACCCUUGCUAAGAGGUAGCUCAGCCUAGGUGUGGGGAAAUUAGAACGAGGCUUCAUAGGGGUGUAAUGAUGGCAGAUAUGCAUAUAUAAACCAUGGUUAUCGUUUUCAACAUGCAGCCCCAUCAUCCUGUUCGAGAAUCUAGAAAAUGGGUAAAAUAGGCAUCCCAGGGAUUGGUACAAGUCCAGGAACUACAACUCCCCAUUAAUGACAAACAAAACAAUGACACUGAUGAAAGUAAGUCCUGGAACCCAAGGGAGUUGUAACAUUGUCUUGAAAGUGAAAUGAUUUUACCAAAAUAGCAACUCAGAAAGCAAGUUCCCAGGUGUGCAGUUUUAUAAGUGAGAGCUAUUUAGAAAGAAUAAAAAUCAGCAGAAUUUUAAUCUCUCCCCUUCUUCCCCCUACUCUUUAAUUGAAAGGUAAAGGUCAGAAACACACAGAUUCAGCUCGGUGUAUGAAAGGAGAGACUGACCGAAGCACAGCCAUACAGCAAAUUAGAAUCCUCCAUCAACUCCAAUUGCUCAAAGCCUACCUGGAAAUCAGACAUCUUUACAGAGUUGUGAGUCUAUGAGAAGAGAUGCCAUGUGACCAGUCACUUCACAUUUCUCCUAACAGCACUUUCAGGACAUUAAUAGACUGAAUCCAUCCUUAAACCAUGAGGCAGCUUCUCAAGUUGCUUUGCUAGGCGUCCCAUAACAGCAAUGAAAGCUAACCAACACUAAGAGUGAGCUCCUAAGGAAAAAUGUUAAAGACCCUUUGGAAACGGACAAAGAGGAUUCACAAAUCGUUUGUGAAACAUUUGGAUGACAAAUGCUUGGUCUGAACAAAGAGCUCAUCUAAGUGCACUAUCAAGGUGAACUAUCAGAGGCAGAGGGCAAGAGCAUAUGAUGAUAACAUCCACCCAAGGACCAGGCUUUGAAGCCUCUGGUUUCAUUUCGGCAUAGCCUUUCCUUUUCAUGCCAGUUCAGCUCCAACAUGAAAGAGGACACAGUCCCUGAAGCCAAUUUCGGUCGCCUCGUUCAGUGCUCACUACUUCAUGCUUCUGGAAAGUGUGUGAUCUUUUUCAUCAUCUCUAAGACCUCCUAGAUGUGUGACCUUUUCACUGCUAUGAUCUCUCCAUAUUCCGCUGCAGAAAAUUGCUCUUGACCUGUUAGAGCUACUGCUUCUUCAGUUUCUUCCCUCUCUUUUCCUUAGGAACCUCACAUACCCAGGCUCUAAGUCAGUGCCAAUGAUAAAAUAUUCAUUUAUGUAUAUGUGUACUAGAGUGGUAUGAGAAUUGUGAAUAGGACAAGUUACAAACAUGCAGCAUAAUAAAAGGAUAAGAUUCCCUCUA
rnacentral:sRNA from 1 species